rnacentral:rRNA from 1 species
ACAUGCAAGUCGAGGGGAAACCACCUCUAAAGCUUGCUUUUGAUGGGCGUCGACCGGCGCACGGGUGAGUAACGCGUAUCCAACCUGCCCACCACUUGGGAAUAACCUUGCGAAAGUAAGACUAAUACCCAAUGACGUCUCUAGAAGACAUCUGAAGGAGAUUAAAGGAUUUAUCGGUGAUGGAUGGGGAUGCGUCUGAUUAGCUUGUUGGCGGGGUAACGGCCCCACCAAGGCGACGAUCAGUAGGGGUUCUGAGAGGAAGGUCCCCCACAUUGGAACUGAGACACGGUCCAAACUCCUACGGGAGGCAACAGGAGGAAUAUUGGUCAAUGGACGAGAGUCUGAACCAGCCAAAGUAGCGUGCAGGAUGACGGCCCUAUGGGUCGUAAACUGCUUUUAUAAGGGAAUAAAGUGAGCCUCGUGAGGCUUUUUGCAUGUACCUUAUGAAUAAGGACCGGCUAAUUCCGUGCCAGCAGCCGCGGUAAUACGGAAGGUCCGGGCGUUAUCCGGAUUUAUUGGGUUUAAAGGGAGCGUAGGCCGGAGAUUAAGCGUGUUGUGAAAUGUAGACGCUCAACGUCUGCACUGCAGCGCGAACUGGUUUCCUUGAGUACGCACAAAGUGGGCGGAAUUCGUGGUGUAGCGGUGAAAUGCUUAGAUAUCACGAAGAACUCCGAUUGCGAAGGCAGCUCACUGGAGCGCAACUGACGUUGAAGCUCGAAAGUGCGGGUAUCGAACAGGAUUAGAUACCCUGGUAGUCCGCACGGUAAACGAUGGAUGCCCGCUGUUGGUCUGAAUAGGUCAGCGGCCA